GAUGAACGCUGGCGGCGUGCCUAACACAUGCAAGUCGAGCGAAGCGCUUUACUUGAAUUCUUCGGAAGGAAAGUAUUGUGACUGAGCGGCGGACGGGUGAGUAACGCGUGGGUAACCUGCCUCAUACAGGGGGAUAACAGUUAGAAAUGACUGCUAAUACCGCAUAAGACCACAGCACCGCAUGGUGCGGGGGUAAAAACUCCGGUGGUAUGAGAUGGACCCGCGUCUGAUUAGCUAGUUGGUAAGGUAAGGGCUUACCAAGGCGACGAUCAGUAGCCGACCUGAGAGGGUGACCGGCCACAUUGGGACUGAGACACGGCCCAAACUCCUACGGGAGGCAGCAGUGGGGAAUAUUGCACAAUGGGGGAAACCCUGAUGCAGCGACGCCGCGUGAGUGAUGAAGUAUUUCGGUAUGUAAAGCUCUAUCAGCAGGGAAGAAAAUGACGGUACCUGACUAAGAAGCACCGGCUAAAUACGUGCCAGCAGCCGCGGUAAUACGUAUG
rnacentral:rRNA from 1 species